ACGAACGCUGGCGGCGUGCCUAAUACAUGCAAGUCGAACGGUCUUUCUAUGGAAGCUUGCUUCCACUGAGAAGAUAGUGGCGAACGGGUGAGUAACACGUGGGUAACCUGCCCAUAAGAGGGGGAUAACAUCCGGAAACGGGUGCUAAUACCGCAUAGUUUUCUUGAUCGCAUGAUUGAGAAAGGAAAGACGGCCUUUGUGCUGUCGCUUAUGGAUGGACCCGCGGCGUAUUAGUUAGUUGGUGAGGUAAUGGCUCACCAAGACGAUGAUACGUAGCCGACCUGAGAGGGUGAUCGGCCACAUUGGGACUGAGACACGGCCCAAACUCCUACGGGAGGCAGCAGUAGGGAAUCUUCCGCAAUGGACGAAAGUCUGACGGAGCAACGCCGCGUGAGUGAAAGAAGGUUUUCGGAUCGUAAAACUCUGUUGUCAGAGAAGAACAAGUUGGAGAGUAACUGCUCCAGCCUUGACGGUAUCCGACCAGAAAGCCACGGCUAACUACGUGCCAGCAGCCGC
rnacentral:rRNA from 1 species